GGCAGCAUCUAAUUUCUUCUGGUUGUGUCAGGGCAAUUCAAUUAUUUUUAAAGGAUAAAAUAUUUAAAAGAUGCAAAAAUCAAAAUCACUGGCCGGGUGUGGUGGCUCAAAAAGAAGAAAAUAAGUAGGCCAGACGCAGUGGCUCACACCUGUAAUCCCAGCACUUUGGGAGGCUGAGGCAGUUAGACCAGGAGUUCAAGACCAGCCUGGACAACAUAGUGAAAUCCCAUCUCUACAAAAAUACAAAAAUUGGCCAGGUGUGGUGGCAUGCAUCUGUAUUCCCAGCUACCGGAGAGGCUGGGGUUGGAGGAUAGCCUGAGCCCAGGAGGUUGCGGCUGCAGUGAGCCAUGAUCACACCACUGCACUCCAGCCUGGAGAACAAAGCGAGAACUUGUCUCAAAAAAAAAAAGAAAGGAAGAAAGAAGAAGAAGAAGAAGAAAAAAGUAAGAGUUAUUAUCACUGCUAUCAAGCUCCUGUUUCAGCUGAGAGUCAGAACACCACAAAAGCAAACCACCUGCAAAAGGCCUGACACUUUCUGGCCACCUACCAGGCUUCAGGUUCUUCACCUCGCUUAAUUUUUACAACAACCCGUUAUGAGGCCUACAUGAGGACACUGGGUUCCCAAGCUCAAUCCCAGGUCUGACUGCCUCAAACCUCUCCUCUCCUAUCACUCUGACCUCUCUUCCCAUCAGAGUAUUUUCACCCACUUUCCGACCAAGUAAAAUUUCUUGCUCCUUUCAAAUUCCAGCUUAAAAUUGAAGCUCUGCCUGUAAAUGAUCCUUCCCAGCCUUCCUCCCAUGUGGAAUCUGAUCAGUCUGUGUGCCUUAAAACUCUGCUGGAUUAGGGAGGAACUGUCCUCUCCAUCCUUUCCCAUUUUUCUUUUAGGAGAGUACUGGAAAGCUAAUAAGGGUUAAUAAGGACACAGGCUCUGUAUCCAGAACCUGGGCACACCAGUUCCCUGCUGUGUGACCUUAAGCAAAUUACUUUUUCUUUCUAAGAGUCAGCGUCCUCAUCUGCAAAAACAAGGACAACAGUAUAAAUGUCAAUGAUUCAACCUCUAUUUGCUAUAUAUUUCUAAUCAAUUUCUCC
rnacentral:lncRNA from 1 species